rnacentral:rRNA from 1 species
CAAGUCGAACGCGAAAGUCCCGCAAGGGAUUAGUAGAGUGGCAAACGGGUGAGUAACGCGUGGGUGACCUGCCUUCGAGCGGGGGAUAACGUUCCGAAAGGGACGCUAAUACCGCAUAACAUCCUGCCUUUGAAGAGGUGGAGAUCAAAGCUAGGGAUCGCAAGACCUGGCACUUGAAGAGGGGCCCGCGUCUGAUUAGCUAGUUGGUGAGGUAACGGCUCACCAAGGCAUCGAUCAGUAUCCGGCCUGAGAGGGCGGACGGACACACUGGGACUGAGACACGGCCCAGACUCCUACGGGAGGCAGCAGUGGGGAAUUGUUCGCAAUGGGCGCAAGCCUGACGACGCAACGCCGCGUGGAGGAUGAAGAUUUUCGGAUCGUAAACUCCUGUCGAACGGGACGAAAAGGUUGCGGGUUAAUACCCCGUGAUCCUGACGGUACCGUUAAAGGAAACCCCGGCUAACUCCGUGCCAGCAGCCGCGGUAAUACGGGGGGGGUAAGCGUUGUUCGGAAUUACUGGGCGUAAAGGGCUCGUAGGCGGCCAACUAAGUCAGACGUGAAAUCCCUCAGCUUAACUGGGGAACUGCGUCUGAUACUGGAUGGCUUGGAUUCGGGAGAGGAAUGCGGAAUUCCAGGUGUAGCGGUGAAAUGCGUAGAUAUCUGGAGGAACACCGGUGGCGAAGGCGGCAUUCUGGACCGACAUUGACGCUGAGGAGCGAAAGCCAGGGGAGCAAACGGGAUUAGAUACCCCGGUAGUCCUGGCCCUAAACGAUGAAUGCUUGGUGUGGCGGGUAUCGAUCCCUGCCGUGCCGAAGCUAACGCAUUAAGCAUUCCGCCUGGGGAGUACGGUC